ensembl:lncRNA
AAAAAAAUUCCUUUCAACACACAGUUAAAGUACAAAUGGUAAGAAUAAAAAUGACAAACAUUUAACAAUUCACUCUAACAUUUCCCUCCUGUUUUGUGAUUUUUAUGCUCCAAAUUAUUCCUAUGUAGUAUAUUCUCAGCCAUGCACCUCUUGCUUAACAUUUCAGCGCAGGCGUCAUUCAUACACAGGCCUCUGUCAUGUCAUUCAUUUCAGUCAUUUCAUAUUGUUGUAAAAGUACACAAUUAACAAAUGUAUCAGAAAUCAUUUUAGUUAACAGUGAUCUUAUACAUGGUAAAAUGCAUCCUAUACAUAAGCAAACAAAUGAAUUGUUACUUUAAUAGUUAAAAUAAGAAAGCAACACUUCAAAAACACUCCAGCUUGGUGGUGCUCCUCCGCAAGACAUGUAAAUAGCAUGUCUCGCUGUAGAGUGGUUUAAGCUCUAUAGGGCGUCAUAAUUGUCUCUUCCAGAUGUUCCCAUCACUGUUCAUAGGACCAGAGUCCAAAUGUAUGUAGAAUAAACAGUCAAACAUACCAGGUGGUUUUAUUGCUUGUCAACAUGGGUCUCAUCUUCAAAGCUGCAGACCUCGUCAACACUCUAGUUUUAUGGCCUCUCUGCCAACCCCCAUCACCUCACUUCAGGCCUCCGUCCUGUGGGGGAUAUUUAUGACUCCUCCAUUGUCCAUCCUCUGCAGGAAAACCCUCUGUGGAAAGGGUGCUGGAUCCAGUUAUCUUACUUCUGCUAUGAUCCCAGCAGUCUUCAGUGUGUCAUCGUAUGCACAGUAUAGUGACACAGCAUUAGAUGAUGUUCAUAGGAAACUGCUGUCAUCACCACCAUAGCUUCUGGUUCCUGUGCUUUUCACAGAAUCAUGAUGCCAUCCUUGAACUCCCCCUGCGCUGUCGGUGGAGCUUGGCACGCUCCCCUCAUCCUUCAGGUGCCCGUCUGUUGUCCACAAUCUCCUCUGUUGGCCUCUGGAAAGCCCCCUUGGCACAGCUCUCAUUCCAACGCAGCUUCGUGGUCCUUGCUGUGGCU